rnacentral:rRNA from 1 species
UACGGAGGGUGCAAACGUUGCUCGGAAUUAUUGGGCGUAAAGCGCGCGCAGGCGGUCCGUUAUGUCGGGUGUGAAAGCCCUCGGCUUAACCGAGGAAGUGCAUUCGAAACUGGCGGACUUGAGUACGGGAGAGGGUAGCGGAAUUCCCGGUGUAGAGGUGAAAUUCGUAGAUAUCGGGAGGAACACCAGUGGCGAAGGCGGCUACCUGGACCGAUACUGACGCUGAGGCGCGAAAGCGUGGGGAGCAAACAGG